GACGAACGCUGGCGGCGUGCUUAACACAUGCAAGUCGAACGGAGUGGCGAACGGGUGAGUAACCCGUGGGUGACCUGCCCUGCACUUCGGGAUAAGCCUGGGAAACUGGGUCUAAUACCGGAUAGUGUGGGAUGGGCCCGCGGGCUAUCAGCUUGUGGGUGGGGUAAUGGCCUCCCAAGGCGGCGACGGGUCGCCGGCCUGAGAGGGUGGACGGCCAAAAUGGGACUGCGAGACGGCCCAGACUCCGACGGGAGGCAGCAGUGGGGAAUAUUGCACAAUGGGGGCGAGCCUGAUGCAGGGACGCCGCGUGGGGGAUGACUGCCUUCGGGUUGUAAACUCCUAUCACCGUCGACGCGGUAGAUGGAGAGGAAGCACCGGCUAACUACGUGCCAGCAGCCGCGGUAAUUC
rnacentral:rRNA from 1 species